UGACCGGUGUGCAUGUGUGGAGACGCUGUCUGCUCUGGAGAGCCCCUGUGUAUUGCUUAUGCAACUGUGUCAUAUUGAGCGCUGGUAGUGUGACGUUCUGUUUAUUUACUCAAACCCGAAUAAAAUCACCAGCAGCAGUCAAGCCGACCCCGUCCUCUUCCUUCUUAAUCAUUGACAUUGUUACACUGGUGCUGAAACCCGGGAAGGAAGCAGGAGAACCACCACCGUCAUGCAAACUCCAACAAGUACACCAUUUGUGGAUGUCAUCUCAUCCCUCGUGGUCAUCCAUCAAGAGCAACACCAAACGUAACUGGAUUUGUGGACUGACCAGUAACGACGCUUCCAGGCCAUUAUCCUGGCGCAACAGGAGGACCACGAGAGGUUCUGGAACUGGAUGGACCGGAAGGUUCGGGUAGAAAUGGCAAUUCAGCAGACCCCGGCCCCCAACCUCCCGCUGAACAAGAUGGGGGCUCAGGACGACCCCUGAAUCUGUUCGCUGGACCUGAGCGAGAGCGUCCAACCCUUCAUGAUGGCCCAACGGCUCAGCCAUGCAAUUGGCGGAGGAUCAGAUGGUGGCGUGCCCUGAGGUCGGGGAAUCCAUUCCAGCUGUUUCUCUCUUUUCCCCUUUAUUUUCUCCCUCUCUCCCUGCAUUUUGACUUGUCCCUCUUUCCAGGUCCCAUCCUCCAGGUCCUCCACGAGUCCUGCCCCGAGGGCGGGGUGGGACCAGACCGGAUUAUGCUGCUGGCCCGAGAGCUCUGCCCAGGGGGACCAUGGCUGGGACCUAUACAGCGUCCAUUUUCCAGCUCUCUCGACGCCAAUCAUUUGACCACAAUGAUCCGGGUCCCGGAUGCCCCGCAGGCUGCCCCCGGUCAGGCUGACUGGUACCAAACACCUAAAGCUGCGGAUCGACCAGCCCGCCACCCGAGCACCGGACACCAAGUCCCCUUGCACUCAGCCGGCCGGCAAACAGGAUCACGUGGCACCGAGGACGAGCACUGGACACCACAGGAUUCAGCACAAAUCAAAGCACCUGUCAAUAAAUACACCCUCCGGGGCUUCACUUUUGCACUAAACCCUGUCGUGUGAUUCUUCAGCCCGUGACAAUAUAUAUACACACAUUUACAUUUAGUCAUUUAGCAAACGAUUUAUCCUAAGUGACUUACAAAGAAGAAGCAAUCAGACAAUACUACAAGCAAUAUUACUAGCUUGUGGUGUGAAAAUGUAAACAAGCAAUAUUACGAGCUUCUGGUGUAAUGGCCAUGAUGUAUGGACACUCUUGCAGAGUCCUUCAUCUGCAAUUCCCAGAUUACAUGAUGAACUUGGAUAUUAGGGAAUGCCCGGG
rnacentral:lncRNA from 1 species